AACGCGAAGAACCUUACCUGGGUUUGACAUGCGCCAGACGCCGGUAGAGAUAGGUCCUUGUGGUUGGUGUGCAGGUGGUGCAUGGCUGGAGCGUGGUGAGAUGUUGGGUUAAGCCGCAACGAGCGCAACCCGUCAUGUUGCCAGCGGGUGAUGCCGGGGACAUGGGAGACUGCCGGGGAACGGAGGAAGGUGGGGAUGACGAAGAAUGCCCCUUAUGCAGGGCUACACAUGCUACAAUGGCAUACAGAGGGCUGCGAGACCGUGAGGUGGAGCGAACCUUAAAGUGGGAGUGGAGGGGUGCAACGACCCCGUGAAGGGAGGCUAGUAAGCAGAAGCAAUGCUGCGGUGAAUACGUCCGGGUGUACACACCG
rnacentral:rRNA from 1 species